rnacentral:rRNA from 1 species
GAUGAACGCUAGCGGCAGGCUUAACACAUGCAAGUCGAGGGGUAACAGGGAGUGCUUGCACUCCGCUGACGACCGGCGCACGGGUGCGUAACGCGUAUGCAACCUACCUUUCACAGGGGGAUAGUCAAGAGAAAUUUUGAAUAAUACCCCAUACGUUCUUUUAAUAGCAUUUUUAAAAGAAGAAAAUUUCGGUGGUGAAAGAUGGGCAUGCGUCCUAUUAGCUAGAUGGUGAGGUAAUGGCUCACCAUGGCAACGAUAGGUAGGGGUCCUGAGAGGGAGAUCCCCCACACUGGUACUGAGACACGGACCAGACUCCUACGGGAGGCAGCAGUGAGGAAUAUUGGACAAUGGAGGCAACUCUGAUCCAGCCAUGCCGCGUGCAGGAAGACGGCCCUAUGGGUUGUAAACUGCUUUUAUACAGGAAGAAACCGCUCGACGUGUCGAGCUCUGACGGUACUGUACGAAUAAGGAUCGGCUAACUCCGUGCCAGCCGCCGCCGUAACAC